GGUGAUCAGAUGAGGUAAAAGACCAUAAUUGUUUUGUAAAAUGUCAUUUGCUAUUCAGGUGAAAGCAUGGUUAUUUUUAUACUGAGGGGGUUUUGUUAUCGCUUUGAUCAUUUUUAAUGACUAGUUGUCAUUUACCAGAUUUUCAUAGAUGUGUCUCAGAUUCUUUCUGCCUUCUUGGAAUUAGUUUGUUCAGGCUUCCUUCCCUGCCCCCAUCCAGCCUUGGAAGGAGCGGCGUCACUGUGGAGUCUGCCCAGGAUUGGCCAAUAAAGUCUCGGCGUCGAUUCACAAGGACAUAUUUCCUACCAGGAAAGCCAGUGAAAUCCCAAUUCCACAUACAAACUAACCUCUAUAGCACGCACUUUGUGCCAGCACUGUUCCAGUGACUUUACAUCUAUUCACUCUUUUAAUAAUCCCCAAACCCCUAUGAAAUAGGUAUUAACGUUUCUCCAUUUGAUACAUGAGAAAACUGAGUCACAAACCAAGCUCACAGUCCGGUACAGCCAGAUUUUGAACCCAGGUAUUCUGACUUAAGUCCACGCACUUAACCAGGACACUGCAUUUCCAUCAUUAUGCCACCCUCGAUGGCCUGAAGAAACAAUAUUAAUGCAAAGUAUCAGUAGCAACUAUGAGAAAGCAUCAGACAGACCCAAACUGAGGGGCUUUAAGUGGCUUGUAAUCCUCAAAAUGAUUAUGAUGGUUCAAACACAACAUUGUAAAAUGACUAUAACUCACUUUAAAAAUGUUUUUAAAAAUUAAAUUUAAUUUAAAAAACAAUGAUUCAAGACCACGACUCAGGGAUGCCCAGGUAAAGGAAAUGAAGAUGACGUCACGAGUGCAGCAUGCGAUCUUCAGUUGGAUUCCGGACUGGGAAUUGGACGUUAGUGGGGUAAAUUGGCAAAGUUUGACUAUGAUAUACAGGUUGUAUCAGUGUUCAUUUCCUGAUUUUUGAAAUCAUGCCGUGAUUACACAUAUAUUUGGAGGAAUCUGA